rnacentral:rRNA from 1 species
CCUACGGGGGGCUGCAGUGGGGAAUAUUGCGCAAUGGGCGCAAGCCUGAUGCAGCCAUGCCGCGUGUGUGAAGAAGGCCUUCGGGUUGUAAAGCACUUUCAGCGGGGAGGAAGGCGGUGAGGUUAAUAACCUCAUCGAUUGACGUUACCCGCAGAAGAAGCACCGGCUAACUCCGUGCCAGCAGCCGCGGUAAUACGGAGGGUGCAAGCGUUAAUCGGAAUUACUGGGCGUAAAGCGCACGCAGGCGGUCUGUCAAGUCGGAUGUGAAAUCCCCGGGCUCAACCUGGGAACUGCAUUCGAAACUGGCAGGCCAGAGUCUUGUAGAGGGGGGUAGAAUUCCAGGUGUAGCGGUGAAAUGCGUAGAGAUCUGGAGGAAUACCGGUGGCGAAGGCGGCCCCCUGGACAAAGACUGACGCUCAGGUGCGAAAGCGUGGGGAGCAAACAGGAUUAGAUACCCCAGUAGUC